rnacentral:rRNA from 1 species
AGCAGGGACGAAGGGUCCCGGUUAUGGGGUUUGACGGUAGGUGGAGAAGAAGCACCGGCUAACUACGUGCCAGCAGCCGCGGUAAUACGUAGGGUGCGAGCGUUGUCCGGAAUUACUGGGCGUAAAGAGCUCGUAGGUGGUUUGUCGCGUCGUCUGUGAAAUUCCGGGGCUCAACUCCGGGCGUGCAGGCGAUACGGGCAUAACUUGAGUGCUGUAGGGGAGACUGGAAUUCCUGGUGUAGCGGUGAAAUGCGCAGAUAUCAGGAGGAACACCGAUGGCGAAGGCAGGUCUCUGGGCAGUAACUGACGCUGAGGAGCGAAAGCAUGGGGAGCGAACAGGAUUAGAUACCCUGGUAGUCCAUGCCGUAAACGGUGGGCGCUAGGUGUAGGGGUCUUCCACGACUUCUGUGCCGUAGCUAACGCAUUAAGCGCCCCGCCUGGGGAGUACGGCCGCAAGGCUAAAACUCAAAG